rnacentral:tRNA from 1 species
GAGGCCUUAGCUUAAUUAAAGUGUCUGAGUUGCAUUCAGGAGAUGUGUUUUAAUAUUUCGCAGGUCUUG